ACACAGCUGCUCUGGCUCCUUCUCCCAGGGGACUUGCACCAGGCCAAGAUUCUCCCGUUCACUCCAAACUGAAGUUGGGUUCUCUCUUUCCCUCACUGUUUGCACCUGGCCUUGCCCCAAACCUGUGCACCCUGCCCACUGUCUCUCCCUUUCCUCCAGCUUUUCCUGCUCUCCCACCUCAGCAAUCGCCUUCUCAAGUCAGCACUGUGUUCUUCCCCAAACACAAACAGAUCAGAGAUGCAGCAGCCACAAGGAAACCUUGCCACUUCAGCAAGGUACUUGAACUUCUGUUAUCUUUGUCCGUAACAAAAUUGUGGCAGGGUACAAGGACAACUUAAUUAGCAGCUAAUCGGGGUUACUGGGAUAUAUGCCAAACUUAAAGCCAACUUCUAGAGGUAAGUUACUUGAUUUUCUCCAGCCCAACAGUCUCAGAUGGGAGGACAAUGGAAAACUCUGGGUCAAACAAUCAGAAUUUUAAAAUGUUGAUAGGCUAGAGCAAUGGGCAAUUUCUAUGGUAAAAUUUAACUGGGUGAACAUAUAAGGUCCCACACUUGAGUUCAAAAUACCAACUUGUCAUAUACAGGAUGGAGGAAAGGGGCUGGAUUUUACUCAACCCAAGACAAGAGGUGCAGUCCUGGGAUGUGACCUGAGGGUGUCAAACAGCCUAGGACUCUCAUUUCAGUCUGUGUUGUCAGUGAACGCCAGGAUGGGAUGUUACAUGCCCUUUGUGGCCCCAGGUUCGAGCCAGAUUCUGCAGAGAGCAGCCUGCACUGGGGAAGAACACGGCACCAUGCAGGCAGGAGUUGCAGAGGCUGAGAGGCUGCUGUCUGUGCUCAGACAUCCUGGACCCCAGAUUUUUUCCACCCUUGCCCUCCCUCUGUGAAGCACAGAGGAACAGCCACAGGAAGACUCCAGAUGUUCCGACCAGGUCCUCUCCUGAUGUGAUCUGCCGCAGCUGGUGUUAACAUCAAGCCCUGGCCAG